rnacentral:lncRNA from 10 species
AGACCUGGAGCUUGCAUUCUUUACCAGCUGUGUGGAUUUGGACAAAUUAAUUAACCUCUCUGAGUCUGUGAUCACUCAGUUUCAUCUGCAAACCAGGGUUCCCCUGUCAACAUCUCAUUGAAGUCAUGGGUCUGGUUUGAGGUCACGAGGCCAAUUCAAGAGGCACAGUUCUCCAAGGAUGGAAGAUGGGGGUGGAGAAGGCAACAAAGAUGGAUGAGCUGGGGCCAUGAUGAUGAGGAUGAUGAUGUUGAUGAUGAUGAUGGUGAUGGCGGCCGAGUGCCCUGUGAUUUACAGGCCCAUCUGGUUUCAUGUUUGCAACAGCCAAUCAAGUGGGUACCAGGUGCCAUCAUUCCCACUUUACAGAUGAGAAGACUGAGCCCCAGACAGGUUAAGUGACUCCCCCAGCCCUGCAAUGAGGAAGGGCCCAGCACAGCUCCAGGCAC